GUAGGUGGCAAGCGUUGUCCGGAUUUAUUGGGUUUAAAGGGUGCGUAGGCGGCUUUGUAAGUCAGUGGUGAAAUACGGCAGCUCAACUGUCAGGGUGCCAUUGAUACUGCGGAGCUUGAGUACAGAUGAGGUAGGCGGAAUUGACGGUGUAGCGGUGAAAUGCUUAGAUAUCGUCAAGAACACCGAUAGCGAAGGCAGCUUACUGGGCUGUAACUGACGCUGAGGCACGAAAGUGUGGGGAUCAAACAGGAUUAGAUACCCUGGUAGUCCACACUGUAAACGUUGAUGACUCGCUGUUGGCGAUACACAGCCAACGGCAGAGAGAAAUCGUUAAGUCAUCCACCUGGGGAGUACGCCGGCAACGGUG
rnacentral:rRNA from 1 species